UAAUCCAACUCAACACGGAGAAUCUCACCAAAGGCGACGGCAGGAUGAAAGUCAGAUUAAAGGUCUUACUUAACAAGCCGAGAGGUGGUGCAUGGCCGCCGUCAGCUCGUGCUGUGAAGUGUCCUGUUAAGUCAGGCAACGAGCGAGACCUGUACCUACAAUUGCCAGCAACAUCUUUAGAUGGAUUGGGCACAUUGUAGGAACUGCCCUGGAAACAGGGAGGAAGGUGCAGGCAACGGUAGGUCUGUAUGCCCCGAAUCCUUUGGGCUACACGCGCGCAACAAUGGUAUGGACAAUGGGAUGCAACUCUGUAAAGAGAAGCUAAACCUCUAAACCAUAUCUCAGUUCAGAUCGUGGUUUGUAACUCAGCCACGUGACGCUGGAAUCCCUAGUAACCAGAUUUUAGCAUAAUCCGGUGAAUAUGUCCCUGCUCCUUGUACACACCGCCCGUCAAGCCAACCGAGCAGGUUCUAGAUGAACUCUGGUCUUUUAAUCAGGUUGAAUCUGGGAUCAGUGAGGUGGGCUAAGUCGUAACAAGGUAGCCUCAGUCAGUCAA
rnacentral:rRNA from 1 species